GACCCUGUGGUGAAAUUCAUGUUGAGUUGCAAGCUCAUCGAUGUGCAUUAAAGGUGUACCAGGGUCU
rnacentral:tRNA from 1 species